rnacentral:rRNA from 1 species
UGGGGAAUCUUGCGCAAUGGCCGAAAGGCUGACGCAGCGACGCCGCGUGCGGGAGGAAGCCCUUCGGGGUGUAAACCGCUGUCAGGGGGGAAGAAACCCAAGGGUUCGAACAGGGCCUUUGGCUGACGGUACCCCAGAGGAAGCGCCGGCUAACUACGUGCCAGCAGCCGCGGUAAUACGUAGGGUGCAAGCGUUAAUCGGAAUUACUGGGCGUAAAGCGUGCGUAGGCGGUUCGGAAAGAAAGAUGUGAAAUCCCAGGGCUCAACCUUGGAACUGCAUUUUUAACUACCGGGCUAGAGUGUGUCAGAGGGGGUGGAAUUCCGCGUGUAGCGGUGAAAUGCGCAGAUAUCAGGAGGAACACCGGUGGCGAAGGCGGCUUGCUGGGCCUGUCCUGACGCUGAGGAGCGAAAAGCGUGGGGAGCGAACAGGAUUAGAUACCC